GUGCUUACUUCGACAACAGAUAUACUAAAAUUGAAAUAAAAAGAGAAAAUUAGCAUUGUCCCUGCACAAAAAUGUCACACAAAUUUGCAAAACAUUACAUAUCUUU